GGUGUGACCAGGUACUAGGGAUGGAGGUGUGACCAGGUACUAGGGAUGGUGGUGUAACUAGGCACUAGGGAUGGUGGUGUAACUAGGUACUAGGGAUGGAGGUGUGACCAGGUACUAGGGAUGGAGGUGUGACCAGGUACUAGGGAUGGAGGUGUGACUAGGUACUAGGGAUGGAGGUGUGACUAGGUAUUAGGGAUGGAGGUGUGACUAGGGAUAGAGGUGUGACUAGGGGUGGAGGUGUGACCAGGUACUAGGGAUGGAGGUGUGACCAGGUACUAGGGAUGGAGGUGUGACCAGGUACUAGAGAUGGAGGUGUGACCAGGUACUAGAGAUGGAGGUGUGACCAGGUACUAGGGAUGGAGGUGUGACCAGGUACUAGGGAUGGAGGUGUGACCAGGUACUAGGGAUGGAGGUGUGACCAGGUACUAGGGAUGGAGGUGUGACCAGGUACUAGGGAUGGAGGUGUGACUAGGGAUGGAGGUGUGAGUAUGCGGG
ensembl:lncRNA